rnacentral:rRNA from 1 species
AGUGAACGCUGGCGGUAGGCCUAACACAUGCAAGUCGAACGGCAGCACAGUAAGAGCUUGCUCUUACGGGUGGCGAGUGGCGGACGGGUGAGGAAUACAUCGGAAUCUACUUUUUCGUGGGGGAUAACGAAGGGAAACUUGCGCUAAUACCGCAUACGACCUACGGGUGAAAGCAGGGGAUCUUCGGACCUUGCGCGAUUGAAUGAGCCGAUGUCGGAUUAGCUAGUUGGCGGGGUAAAGGCCCACCAAGGCGACGAUCCGUAGCUGGUCUGAGAGGAUGAUCAGCCACACUGGAACUGAGACACGGUCCAGACUCCUACGGGAGGCAGCAGUGGGGAAUAUUGGACAAUGGGCGCAAGCCUGAUCCAGCCAUACCGCGUGGGUGAAGAAGGCCUUCGGGUUGUAAAGCCCUUUUGUUGGGAAAGAAAAGCAGCAGGUUAAUACCCCGCUGUUCUGACGGUACCCAAAGAAUAAGCACCGGCUAACUUCGUG